ensembl:ncRNA F17C8.10 ncRNA
UUUCUCUCGUUCACUCUCUUCCAAUCUCUCACUUACUUUUGAAAGCCUUUUCAGAGAAAAAGAGAGUAAAAGAAAGUGCGCAGAGAGCUUUGGAAUGAGAGAGGCGCAGAGUUUGAAACGAAAAGCUGCGCGCUCGACUGGCCCCAGGGUGGGGCGGGUCCAAGAGUGUGGAAGAGAGAGAGAGAGGAUGGAGAA